rnacentral:lncRNA from 1 species
CCAGGAAACUCAGCUGUGUAGUCAAGAGAUGCCCAAGUGACUCUGGGGACCACACCCAUGCCACUUCCCUGUCUUCCUUGUGCUUCCUUAUGCUACUGGAGACUUCCAGGCAGGAUGAAGACAGCACCUCAGGGACAGUGACCAUGGAAACCAGGGAGGGUCAGUGUCACAUGCAGGCCUGGCCCCUCUGCCCUGCAGCCAGCCCCGAGCCUGUCCCAGGAUCAUCUCCCAGGAGGAUCAUCUUUACUGUAAAGCUUGUGAGAAGUGGGAAUUUAUUAAGAACCAUUUCCAUUAUCCAGAGGCAUGGGAGAGAGGACAGAGAAAUGCAGGGCAGGGGGAAGCACCCAGAGGUCUUCUGGACUCCCGUGGCUCCCGGUGUCCCUGGGACUGGAAUCCUGUGUAGGGANNNNNNAGGCCUCUGGGCUGGGCACAGCACAGCCUGGACUUCCUGUCUGUUUCCAUCCUCCUUCAGCUGUCUGAGUCCACAGCUGGCCGAAUCCUUCACCAUGAUGUCAGGGCCCUCUGAUUUUCCACUUAAAAUGCAGAAAGACAUUGAAAUGGACUCUCUUAGUGACUUGGGACAGACAAGACCUUACUUAUGACUGUGGUCACCCUGCUGCACAAUAGCUUUCCAAGAUGCCUCCUCCUGUCCACCUGAAACCUUGUGCCCUUUGACCAGGCAGUCCCUCUCCCCUCUCUCUUCCCCCUCCCCACCUGACCAUUGUGAUUUGUCCACUACAAAUGACAUUAGCAAACGCACAGACAAUAUGAAAUAAAAUGCAAGAUGUGUGGCUGGACCACCCCACCUGUUUUACUCUGUCUGUGUCUGCUGUCCCCCACUUUCAUUGGAACUACUUUAUUUCUGAGUUUAGGCGGUGUCUUUACAGUCGGUGGGCAGCAACGUACCUGUCAAAGAGAGGUGGUAAUUUGAGCACCCCUUGCCAGCUCUGCCUCCGUCACAGGUACAGACCCAGUUUGGUCACCCAUGGCACUGCACAGAAGAGGGGUUUUUCCUGAUGAAGAGGGCCCACUGCUCACACAGGAGUGACACAGGGGGGCACGGGGCCAUAAUGGGGGGCUCUGCAAGGAGUGCAGGUCCUCAUCUGCAGACUUCAGAGGGGAGUGGAAGGCACAGAGGGUCUUCUGCUGUCAUUCUGCCCUGACUGCUUGUCCUACCUGGGCAAGGUGACAUGAAGGGUGGGCUCACUGACCCUCCUCUUUGGGGGAAUAGCCAAGGUGGUAG